rnacentral:rRNA from 1 species
GAUGAACGCUGGCGGCGUGCCUAAUACAUGCAAGUCGAGCGAACGGACGAGAAGCUUGCUUUUCUGAUGUUAGCGGCGGACGGGUGAGUAACACGUGGAUAACCUACCUAUAAGACUGGGAUAACUUCGGGAAACCGGAGCUAAUACCGGAUAAUAUUUUGAACCGCAUGGUUCAAAAGUGAAAGACGGUCUUGCUGUCACUUAUAGAUGGAUCCGCGCUGCAUUAGCUAGUUGGUAAGGUAACGGCUUACCAAGGCAACGAUGCAUAGCCGACCUGAGAGGGGGAUCGGCCACACGGGAACUGAGACACGGUCCAGACUCCUACGGGAGGCAGCAGUAGGGAAUCUUCCGCAAUGGGCGAAAGCCUGACGGAGCAACGCCGCGUGAGUGAUGAAGGUCUUCGGAUCGUAAAACUCGGUUAUUAGGGAAGAACAUAUGUGUAAGUAACUGUGCACAUCUUGACGGUACCUAAUCAGAAAGCCACGGCUAACUACGUG